GACAACUGGGCUGGAUCCCAGGACCCUUGGAAUCAUGACCUGAGUGAAAGCAGAGGCUUAACCAACUGAGCCACCCAGGAGCCUCACCUUUUCCAUUUAAAAAGAGAAAGUGACAGGUGUCGCAUGGAUGCAGUCCUAAUGAAGAAGAUGAAGGAGAAUGUGAAAAAUCAAGAGCCUGUGCUCAGACACGAAAGCGUAACAAUUCUCCAGGGUAUCUCUAGCAACAUACUGUGUUCAGACACAUGAAUACCCUGGCAGGAACACCAGGGAGGAUAUUGAAAUACUAUACACAGUGUCAUCAUAUUUCAGAAUUAGGAUAAGCAAUUAUAGACCUGUAUUCAUUUAAUUUCUCACAAUAAUGGCAUGAGCUGUUAUUCUCCCCAUUUUCAAGGCAAAGAAACUGAAACAGAGAGAAGUUAGGUGACUUGAGUCACACAGUUACUAAAAGAAGAGGCCCUGAUUUAAAGUAAGGCUGCCUGGCUCCAUGACCCAUAUUCUCAACCAUGAUGGUCUACAGCCCCUCUGAUGUACAUACAGAAUUUUUCAUCAUACUCAUAGCCUGCUCCGGUCAUAAAUCAGUUCUUAGCUAAAGAAUACAUGCCUCUGAAUCCCUAAUCUUCCAUCAUCAUUAUUGAUAGUAUUUAUGGAGUCUCACUUUUUUCUUGGGACCAUGGAGAGUGAAGCUUAUUUUGAUAAAUGGAGGCCCUAACUACACCUUUAUACUGGUUGUCAUAAACCCUUUUUUAGCUCUUUUAAUAUUUCAGAGGAAAAAGGGCCAUUUUUUCAUGGGAAUAUUGAAUGAAUAAAUUUCCAUCAAAUGAAA